GGCCAUAGCUCAGUGGAAGAGCAUUUGCUUUGCAGGUACAGGUCCCUAGUUCAAUACUGGGCAUCUCCA